UUAACGAUAGCACACUAAACUCAAGUUACCUGCCAAGCCUGAAUACAAUCACAUGAUAUUCGACCCUUAAAGCUGAGAACCAAUACUUCAGAUAUGAUAAUAAACUCCUUCUAAGUACUAAAAAUCCAUACUAUAUUAUAAUUGAUUUUAUGCAGUUUCUAUGCCUUAAGAGUGACAGGAAUUUAAUUAUCACAAAAUGUAUGAUCAUCGCCUCAGCUGAAGCCAUGCAAAUCGAGGGCUCAUUAGAUUCAAAUGAACUCCUCAAAAAAAGAGUUCUACAACCCCAAUUUAAUUACAAUCUUAUAAGUCUAACUCGUUAAAUAGCAGUAUCAAGCUCAGGACAUCUCUAAAGAUUAUAAUAUGACAACAACAAAAGAAAAUGUAAAUAAGACAACACCAAAUCUAUUGCUAUGCUUUCAAGCUUUCAUUUCCAUCUUUACUCAGCGUUUAUAUCAAACAAGGCUAAAGAAAAUGUACCUGGAAAAUCAAAAUAGGAGAGAAACAAGGAAGUCAGUAGUGACCAAUAAUAGGAACAAGACCAGCCGGGUAGAUGCAAUAUCAAAUACCAACAGCCAAUAGAAUCAACCAACAGAACCAGUUUAGAACCCAAAUCGAGUAGGAAAAAUAGUAGAAAACAGUUCUUCUUUAACAUCAAACCACAACAAUUUCAAAGAAACUACCCAUAAACACCCAUUUCAAUCCAUUUUAAGACAAUGAAUCAGAAGAUCUUUCAGUUGUGGAAAGAUAUACGAGAAAUAAAUGCUCAGCCUACAAUGUCUGAUAACGGAGCUGAAGUAGUGAAUCUAUCAGCACUAAAAAUUUGGGGAAAUCACUGGACAAUCUUCAAUAUAACAGUAACUUGCUUUGAAAAUUUAUGCUCUCCUUUUGUUUUGCAAUUUUCUUUCUAAUCUCUGCAAAAAAUAGUAAAGUAUGCAACCUUUUUUUGGGGUUUUUUUGCUCUUGGAUCUCUC
rnacentral:lncRNA from 1 species